UACGUAGGGUGCAAGCGUUAAUCGGAAUUACUGGGCGUAAAGCGUGCGCAGGCGGUGAUGUAAGACAGUUGUGAAAUCCCCGGGCUUAACCUGGGAAUGGCAUUGAGACUGCAUAGCUAGGGUGCGGAAGAGGGAAGCGGAAUUUCCGGUGUAGCGGUGAAAUGCGUAGAUAUCGGAAGGAACACCAGUGGCGAAAGCGGCUUCCUGGUCCAGCACCGGACGUUCAGGCACGAAAGCGUGGGGAGCAAACAGG
rnacentral:rRNA from 1 species